UACGUAGGGGCCGAGCGUUGUCCGGAGUUAUUGGGCGUAAAGCGCGCGCAGGCGGCCUCGCGCGCCCGACGUGAAAGCCCCCGGCUUAACCGGGGAGGGUCGUUGGGGACGGCGGGGCUUGAGGGCGGGAGAGGGUGGUGGAAUUCCCGGUGUAGUGGUGAAAUGCGUAGAUAUCGGGAGGAACACCAGUGGCGAAGGCGACUACCUGGCCUGUUCUUGACGCUGAGGAGCGAAAGCGUGGGGAGCAAACGGG
rnacentral:rRNA from 1 species